rnacentral:lncRNA from 1 species
GCGGGAGAGGCGCCGUCUCUCGGGGGAGAAGCUCUUGAACUGAGUUAAAAAUAUAUUAAAUUUGCAAUCAAUCAAAAAUGCGAAAGGCCCGGAGAAUAUCUUUGGACUUUAUCUUUGAACGCCUUCCAUUUCUCUGAAAGUUGGUGCCGGGGGAAUCUUUUUAAAGCACUUUCUGAAUCAACGAUGGGGUGCGGGGAAGGUCUGGGCUUGAGGUGAAAAGUCUGCUCUCACCUUUUGGCAGAGUAGCAUCCUGAAUGCAAUUUCCGAGGAAAUUUUGGGGACCGUUGCUUCGCUGAAAGUGGAAGCCAAGUCCGAAUGCAUCUUUCCAGCCUGGCAGGCUGGAAUAAUAAACAGUUUCAGUUCCACUGCAAUUAUUCACAGAUCCAAGUCUGCUACAUCAUUAUUAAGCAAUGAGGAGGAGGAGGACAGCGGCACCCAUAGUCUUCUUACCAUGUGCCAGACAGUGCCAGCAAUCGGGAAGAUGAGGACGCCAUCGAGCCUGCUAGGUCAUGGGUGCUGGUUAUUUAGCCCUGAAAGCUUUCAAAGGAACUACACAGCGAGCAGGGCCGCGGGCAAUUGUACGGCCUCUGGACGGAGCCACGGUUAAGUGUUUCUUCUAACAGAGUAUUACAAGAGGCCCAUAGCCUAACACAAAAGAGGUGCUCUUCUGGCUGAGGGUGGAGAAACUCCCAAGAAGACCCCAACUUGAUCAGCCGCACUUCUGCCUCCCCGCUGAACCCUUUGACAGUUCAGCCCCCUCAGUGUAUCGCAGAGGGCGCGCAGUGGUGAAGAGAACAAUUGGUGAGUGUGUGGGGCUGGGGAUUUAGCUCAGCGGCAAGUGCCUGCCUGGCACGGGCAAGGUCGUGAGUUCGGUUCCCGGUACCGGAG